rnacentral:rRNA from 1 species
UACGUAGGGACCGAGCGUUGUCCGGAAUCAUUGGGCGUAAAGAGCGUGUAGGCGGCUUGUUAAGUCUUGCGUGAAAUCUCGGGGCUCAACCCCGAGCGGUCGUGAGAAACUGGCAGGCUAGAGUGCGGGAGAGGAGAGUGGAAUUCCUGGUGUAGCGGUGAAAUGCGCAGAUAUCAGGAAGAACACCCGUGGCGAAGGCGGCUCUCUGGAACGCAACUGACGCUGAGACGCGAAAAGCGUGGGGAG